rnacentral:rRNA from 1 species
GAUGAACGCUGGCGGCGUGCCUAAUACAUGCAAGUCGAACGCGCAGCGAAAGGUGCUUGCACCUUUCAAGCGAGUGGCGAACGGGUGAGUAACACGUGGAUAACCUGCCUCAAGGCUGGGGAUAACAUUUGGAAACAGAUGCUAAUACCGAAUAAAACUUAGUAUCGCAUGAUACAAAGUUAAAAGGCGCUACGGCGUCACCUAGAGAUGGAUCCGCGGUGCAUUAGUUAGUUGGUGGGGUAAAGGCUUACCAAGACGAUGAUGCAUAGCCGAGUUGAGAGACUGAUCGGCCACAUUGGGACUGAGACACGGCCCAAACUCCUACGGGAGGCUGCAGUAGGGAAUCUUCCACAUUGGGCGCAAGCCUGAUGGAGCAACGCCGCGUGUGUGAUGAAGGCUUUCGGGUCGUAAAGCACUGUUGUAUGGGAAGAAAUGCUAAAAUAGGGAAUGAUUUUAGUUUGACGGUACCAUACCAGAAAGGGACGGCUAAAUACGUGCCAGCCGCCGCAGUAACAC